rnacentral:lncRNA from 1 species
UUCCAGGCAGGGAAGACAAGGUAAAGUAUGCUGAAAUUCUGCUGUGUUCACUUUUAGAUAAAACACGGAUUCAUGCUGCUGAAGUCCAUGGAGAUGCUAAAGUCAGUCAUGUAUAAACAGUGAUCUAUGAUCUAAAGUUUCAGGAGGGACGAAGAAUGCACAGUCCAAAAUGUUGGUCAUCUACCUGAGAAACACAUUAACAACAGGGAUCAGAAGAGCCUUUUGGCAUGAAGGUAAGAAGGAAAGGAGGGCUGGCAGCAUGCUCCUGUCUGACACCUCCAAACUCUGCACCUGGUAUUUCCCUGCAUCUCUAAGAUGGGCCUCAUGGGGUGCUACCAGGCUCCAUGCUUUGCUGUGAGGAUAAGAGGAGUGCCUGGAGCACAAGUCACCGCAGCUUAUUCGCUGUAGAUCUGUUCCUUACCCUUUCUUAAAAACAAUCAAGGAUGCAUUUGGUCCACACUAAGGGGAGCAUGUACGCAGGCAAGGUGCUUUCAUGCUGGAAGGCAGCCACUCUGAACAUGGUUUCAGGAAUGGGAUGGUCUCAGAGCCAUCACGCUGCUGAUAUUUCACAUUUGGCACAUCACCGACCCCAGCCUGCGCCUUGGCUGUGUAGGGAGACAUUCUCGGAAAUGACCUGCAUGCGAUUCAAGUUUUAAGCUGGUUAAGGAAAAGACCUCAAAUGAAUCCUUAUCUAAGAUGGAAGCACUUUUAAGGAAGAAUGAAACCCAGAAAGAUAAGGAAAAACAUUCCCCCCCCCCCUCCUUUACUCUAUCACAUCAGAUUGACUUAUCCUCUGUUAUGUGGGUUUACUUUGAAACAGAUCACUCUCAUUGCAACACGUUCAGUGCUGCCAGCCACCACAUGGUUAUUUGGCAGCUAUUUAAAGCUCAGAUCAUAUUACUCAGUCGCAGUGCUAGGCACCCAUGUUCCAACUGGUAUACAACUGAUCUAAAGAGAAAUCAGCUUUAGGUUUUGUUCUCUGAAAUUAAAUGUGACGGUAUGAUCUCUGUGAUCCUUUUUCCCCCCCUUUUCUCCCCUCCCCCCCUUUUUUUUUCUUUUUUUGUAUGCAUUAUUACUUUUUUGGAACAGUGUUCUGCUAGCACCACAGGAGAAAUUCAGUUAGGCUGUCUGCCCAAUGUAGUGUAUUAUCAGACACCUUCGCUUUUCCUCCUCUUACAUUUGCGUAAGAGCUUAUAAACCACAGAGAAUAAAAAUUGUUAAAUAGAAUGAAAUGACCUGUCAAGGGUAGAUAUAGUAUUUGUGAAUGACUUAAAAAAAUUCCACCAGCUUCAAGGACACCAGCUUCACUGACUGACUGUGCUCUCUUGAAAUCUGGCCUUUCUUUUUUCCCCAGGUAAAAUGCUUUGAUGGUCAUCAGUCUUAGAUGACCUGAAAAGGAAUAGUUUUGUCUUCCCAUAUCCAGCCCAGGAUGAGACUGUGUAGCAGGAGAGGAUGCCAUUGUGAGAUUUGGAAGAGAUUUGAAUCCUGCUCUUAAUAUAAUGAGCCUAAAUCUUGAAUUUUGCAAAACAUUGAACAAAGUCAGAUGAGUCAAGAUGAGCGGCUCUUAAGAAGAAGUAACCAACAAAUAUUUUACACUGCAGGAAACUUUCAUCACUGGAGAAUAGGAAAAUUUUCCAUAGGAAUAAAGUGACUGAUUUCAAACCCAGUUAGCUGUUGACCCUGAUAGAUAUAUAUUCAGAUGAGGAGCUGAAGCGAUCAGCUUGGAUUUAACCUAUCUCAGGAAGUAUAGGGUAGUGCUAUACCCUGAAACACAAUUUGGUCAGUAAGUUGGAGUUUUGAAUGUAAUCCUUAUUUGAUUAUUUUAUUUUCUGAAGUUCUGUCAUCUCCUCUCCCUCCCUGUACAAUUUCAGGCUUUAAAGCUUUGCCCUGAGCUUCAAAUAGCAACUUCUAUUGCUAAUCAAAGCGACAGAAAAAGUGUAUUUAUGUAUGUUCCUGGACUAGUGCAAAGGUUAUUCUGUAACUUGUUUCUUCAGUGUGAACAUCACAUAAUCCAAGACUGUCACAUUUAGCCUUCCCUGAGGAGCAGGCUUUAUGGAGGGAAGCACUGAGGUUCUCUGAGCACCACAGACAGCAGCCCUCAAUGUGCCAGGACCAACACAGGCAAUGAGAAAUAGGAGGAUAUGAAUGUAGCUUAAAAUAUGCGUGUAAAACUGAAAGAAGGCACAGCGGGCUGGCAUCGUAUUCUCAUUCAUAUAGCUCCAGCUUUUUCUAUAGCAAACACUUUUCAACACUGUGCGUUGGAGAUGCACAACGCACAGCUCACGUGAGGCUCUCCCAAGUCAUAGAAUCAGAAUGUCCUGAGUUGGAAGGGACCCAGAAGAAUCAUCAAGUCCAACACUUGGCAUCACAUAGGACCACCCAAAAAUCAGACUGUACAUUUGAGAGUGUUGUUCUGACACUUCCUGAUCUCUGAUGAGCUUGAUGCCAUGACUGCUGCUCUGGGGAGCCUGUUCCAGUAUCCAGUCACCUCUGCUGAAGAAGCUUUUCCUGAUAUCCACCCUGACCCUUCCCUGUCAAGAGUCAGCUGUGUCUGUGGAAAUGAACCUGGUGGGGUUCAGAACUGGAUGGUAUGGGUAAGCUGUGAUUCUUCAGUUGGGUUCGUAUGGUAUUGGACAGAAGCUGUGCAGAGUUUCAUGCUUCGUUGGAAGAUAUUUCUGAUGAACUUCUAAUUCUUUGUGUCUACAGAGAAUGCAAUCCACAAGAGGUACCUGCUUCUUAUCACUGUCAGGAAGAAUGCUCUAGGCUGCUCAGAAACAAACAGCUCCUACAACUAAUGAGAACCCCAGUAGUACUUUAUUGUAGAAACAACCCCGUAGAAGUCUGUGUCACAGGGCAAUGACAUACAUGCUCAAAGACAGGUCGGUGCAGCUGGUUCUAGUACAUGAGACCCUCUCAUAGCUCUAACUUGUGAUUCAUCCAAUAGGAAAAUAUUUGGAUAACCUCUCUGUAGUAAGGGACUUUAAUUCAUGACUCAGACAUAUUGAAAUAUUAGGCACUUAUAUUCCAAUUAUUAACUGCUAUAAAAAGGCAUGUCUGACAUUUUUUUUUUCGCAGCAGAAAAGAAUCCCGACAAAAGAACCCCGACUGGGCCCGGGCCGGGGCAGGGCCGGGAAGGCGCGGCGGGGCCUGCAGGGCGGCCGGCGGCCACAGGGGGGCUUCGUUCAGCCUCUCACAGUGGAGCGGCGGCGGCCGCUUGGCUUUCCCCCUCCCUCACGGAGGCUGUGCUUCCAGCGCUGGGUUAUCCCGUUCAUUCCAGGUUCUUAAAUUCUGCCCCCUUAACGCCGUUCAGGUUAAAGGCAGUUCAGCACAACUUGCCCUUUUCAUAAGUGUUGUGUUACCUUAAUAAAAAUGUGCUAAAAGCACUUACAGCCGUCCAGAAUUCUGGGGUACUGCUCUACUUUUUACUACCAACGGGUACUUCAACCAUUUAUUCCUUAAAUAAUUAGCCAUGAGAGUAAUCACAGAAUCAUAGAAUUGUUUGAGCUGGAAGGGACCCUUAAAGGCCAUCUAGUCCAUCUCCCCUGCAAUGAACAGGGACACCUACAGCUUGAUCAGGGUGCUCAGAGCCCCGUCCAGCCUGACCUUGUAUGUCUCCAGAGACCCCAUCCACCACCUCUCUGGGCAACCUGUGCCAGUGCCUCACCACCCUUAAUGUAAAAAACUUCCUUACAUCUAGUCUAAUUCUCCCCUCUUUUAGUUAGAAACCAUUUCCCCUUGUCUUAACACAACGGAUGCUACUGGAGGGUCUGCCCCCUUUUUUUUCUUACAGCCCCCCUUUAGAUACUGAAAGGCUGCUAAUACAUAUGAACAACAACAAUACAUCUUUUUGUUAUUAUUAUUACUUAAACAAUUGCAUUCAUUCAUAGAUCUCAAAGUGCUAUUUAAAUGAGGUCAGCACAAUUAACCCUGCUGAACCACUGCUGUGCAGAGCUUCCAGACUGCUGUCACUGUGCAUCAGCCGAGCACACAGUCCUGUCUCUAACACCUUUAAGCAAAGACUGGAGCCAAAACCAAAGCGGCAGGAAGCUUCCAUAUUAGAUAAGGUUUUUGGACACAGAAGCUCUCACUGCCUCGAAGAGAGAGAGAAAACAGCCUGAAAGCAUUUGGAAACUGCCCUGCUGUGGUUGGAACAGUUGGGGAUCACUGAAGAACUGCAAUGAGGGGGAGCAGCAGCUGGCAAAAGCUAGGAGAGUUAGGUGCAAGAGGAGAGCAGAGCUCCUUAAGUAACACACAGCCCAGGGAGCUGUCACGGGUCUGAGAUAGGUUCCUGUUCUUCCUCGGAGAGAAACGUUCCCGGUGAUCUGGAAGAGCGAGGGGGCUAAAGCCCUAAAAGGAGGCCUCCAAUUUUAGAAAUGCCUCUUGUCCCCACAAUCCCUCCAUUUUUAUAACAUUUUUUAGGUAUGACAUUAUACAAACUAUGUAACUGACAAAUCCUCCAUUUGCAUUAGAUUUAAGUGGCUUCCCUCCCAUCACUCCUCGCUGUUAAAAAUACAUUACAGAAAUUACUAUCCCGCCUAGGAAAAUGUGUGAUGACUCCAGUGUCUGUCGUUUAUGUCUAAAACAUUUUGGCACUUAUCCUGCCAGGUUGUCUUUUCCUUUCAGCUUUGAGUGAGAGAAGGGGAAGUGCAGGGUGAGGGGCCAGAUUUUUCUAUUUCCCUAGUUGCUGCCUGCAUGCAUUUCAGCCCACACUGCAGGCGUGAUGGGAUCUAAAUGCUGAGCAGGAGCAGUGAAAUCCUCAGGAGGAAAAGAGAAUAGAAAGCAGAGAGAAGCCACACUUCAGGCUACCCUAAGAGUGUCUGUAUCAAAUCAGAGCAAAGAUACUGCCCAAGAUCUUGUCUUCCUACAGCAGUCAAUAUUUACAGAGAAACUAUCAGCAAACAGCAAGCGUGACAUGAUCUUUCCUCUUGAGUCACCUUUCAGCUUCUGCAAAGGGGACAGACACCUUUCUGCCUUCAUCUCAUUUGCAUGUGGACUGAAUUUGGCCCUCUGCAUCUGAACAAGCCCCCAGUCUCCUUCACUCCCCUCUCCUGCAGCCCCCAGCUGCUACAUCAGUGCCAUUGGGGCUGCUCACAUCAGGCAUUUCUAAACACUAAUCAAGCACAGAGAUCCCUUUUCCCUCUGCUAAGAGCCUGGCUCAAUCUGGAAGGAAAGGAGGAGAAUCAAUCUACCUGAUUGCUGUAUCCCUUUCAUCUUGCACUUUGCAGCCCCUUGCCAAGCAGAGCAGCGGGAGAGUCUCAGCUCGAUCAGCUCAGCUGCUCCCGGCAGGUGUCACUAUGGAAUGGCAAAAUGCAACUCGAAGGCUGUGAUUGCUGCUGCAGGCAGAGUGUCCGCUGAAGUGCCACGUUGGUACCAUGGCGCUGCAGCCAGGAAAGUUUCCUAAUUAGAUCUGAAACAGAGGUGCUGCUGCCCUCUGCUUUCCCCAUGUUUGUCUCUCCACGCUCACAACCCUAACAGUGGGUUGGAGGAGUUUUCUGGUUUUUUUUGUGUUUUCUUAAAUAUAUAUAUAUGCAACAUUGCUUAGCAAUGAAUGAAGAGUCACCCUUCUUCAUGGAUCGCUGCCUCGUGUAGUAACAUGAGCACAAUGACGUGUAAAGUUUCCAGAACUGUUGGUAAUUACUGAUAAGCCCAGUUCAGCUCUCAGUUACAUACAAAGCUGGGUAAACAAUGGGAGGAAAAAAUUAAUUAGAGCCCAUGUUUGCUAAAGCUGGCUAGCGAUUCCAUCUGAUCACGUUCCUGCUCCUUUCAUUCCCUUUGCACAAAUGUUUGGGUGGUCAGGUUAUGUUGGUGCGUAGGUGCACAGGAGGAGCUUUUGUCUGUGCAAAUACUGCAUCUCUCCCAGGGCAUGGGCCCUUCUGGUAAGCACUCGCCCUUCCCUUGUGUUUGCAGCUGGGAAGGUGUCUGAAGGCCUGGGCAGGCAGAGGUUAAAUGGUUGCCUCUCCCACGCAAUACAUACCUGAAGUCUCCAUACCACCAAAACCAGCAAGGGAAGAAGGAAGAGAGAACAGGUGGGAAUAGGAAACAAUAGGAAGGACACACAUCUAGAGAAAUUUCACACAUGUUUUGACCCCAUAGUACUCUUUGGCAAUGUGUCUUCUGUGACACAGCACAGCCUAUGUGAAGCGGAAAAGGAAGAUUCAGAAAGCUUCUCUUUGGCAUGGGCUGGACACAUUACUAGCACAAACAUUGGGCCUAGAUCACAUUGCUUCACUUGCUGGGAACGCUGGGACUGGUCAAGUUCUUAGAGACUUAUUCCAAUCAAUUGUAAGACUUCAUGAGUACUACACGGCACCUUGAACACUGCAUGGGCUGCUUGUAUCUGCCUGAUUUCUCAUCAGGGACUCAGGCAACUUCCAGUGUGACAGGAGUCAGGGUGUUGCCAGGGAUCUAAACAUCAUGUUCUCCUCCAUGACUGAAUCCUCUCACUGUGGCAGGACUGAUUUCCUUGUGUAAAAGUAAGUCUGGUCUUGACAAUGUGGUCAGACCAGACGACCUCCAAACAUCCCUUCCAACUAAAAUAACUCUGUUAAGUCCAUGAUUGUGGGGUCAUUUCCUGCUAUACUUCUUUCCCUGAAGUGCUUCCUCAGAGCCAGUGCCUCAGUGAUUUCUUCAGAUUCAGCUCAAAAUUGUGGAAACUAGGUCAAGCCAUGAUGGGAAAGCUACAAGGCCAAGCUUACCAUGAGAAAUCAUGGGGAAAAUACAAAGCCUACACCAUGAUUCUUACGGCAUGAAUGGAAUGGGAUGCAUCCACUAGAAGAACUGGUUGCACAGCAAAAUAUAUUUAUAUAUAUAUAUAUAGGAGACAAUGCAGUUCUUUUGGAAAUAGCUUGUAGAGAGUACCAAAUUGGACUGAUUUUUUGAUGUCAAUAAACCAUCUGAUGAGUCCUGGCAUCUUCAGAGUCUUGUGAUGUCUUUCUCCUCUUGUGAAGAAAUGCUUGGCAGAUGAAUCCAUAAAAUCCUGUCCUUUUGUGCACUCAUUUUACAGCACUGUUUGUGUCCUGGUGCACAGAGUUGUGUUUUAUGGAGUGCUAGGAAAGGCUCAGAUCAAAGCUAAUGCGAUUUAUCCAUGAUACUUUCUGCAAGAAGAGUUCAAAAGAUAGGAAAUCACAUAUGAAGAAAAUUAGGCUUUGCAUAUAAUUUCCUGUACUUUAUGGAGAGCUGAGACCACAGAAAGAAGUAUUCUGGUGAUAGGCCUGAUACUUAUCCCUUCUUUCUCCCACUAGCACAUUGGAUAAUAUAGAUCCCAUCUAAUUUAACCCGUGGGGACUCCUCUUUGCCUCCAACCGCUGACCUGACAGUGUGCUUCUAACACAAACUCUGAGUGUAAUUAAAUUCUCUUAUUUCCCCAUUUGAGCUACUAUUAGGAAAAAAAAAAAAAAAGCCAAAAAAACAUUCCUAUGCUCCUAUUUUCGUUUACUUCAAACAGUUGCUGGAUAUAAGCCAUUCUAAUUAAACUGCAAAGUUCUUCUGUGGGCAGCUCAGAUGUUGCUAAAAUUGAUGUCAAGUGUUACAGAAAUCUGUAUUGUUUGCAGUGAUCUUUCUGAAUUCCACUGGCAUAGAGAAGUAGCAGCCAAAAACAAACAAACAAACAAACAAACAAACAAACAAUCAAAUAAAUAAAUAAAGCCCCUAGAUCUAUUUACUAUUGCUUUUUUUUUUUUUUUUUUUUUGGCUGUUCCCAGGGUCUUCAUGCAAUUUGCUAAGCCAGGAUACAGCUUGAUGCAGGACAUCAGCUGAUAAAUGUGGGUGGUACUUGGGCUUCAGAUAAAGAUUAAUCUAUAAAUUAAUCAGGGGACAAGAAAAUCUCCUUCCAUAACAAGAACAGCCCUUGUAAAUCAAGGUUUCAAUUUGGUAUAAUUAAAUGAGCAACUGGCCUGCAAAUUGUUGACCACACACAGGUUACAGAAGUGAUACUAUUGUAACCUACAUGGUUGUGCCAAGUUUCCAACAGAAGACCCUGAGGCACUUCUCUAGCGGUGUGGGAAGGUCUGGAGCAUCACCCAGCUGAGCUGCGUGCACUUGCUCAUACUCAAUUAGCAAGUUCAGGCUGUGUAUAUAACCCAUGCUGCCUACGGUGCCAAGCAGCCAAUUGCCCUCAGCAGCUACUAAUAUAGAAUUGCAAAGUAUAGUUAAUUAAGUAGGUACAAUUUAUUCCAUAGUAUGUUCCCUGUGUAUAAAACUGCGUGUAGUUUUUGGCUAUUGAUGUAGGAUACUGCUUUAAGAGUUAUCCCUUGUGUUCCUGGUCUCAGGUGCCCAUUCCUUCUUCUACGUAGUAUGUGGGACCUUGGCCUGUACUUGGGAUUGUGGAGUCAUAGAAUCAUAGAAUCCUUAGAUUUGGAAGGGACCUCUGAAGGCCACAUAGUCCAACUCCCCUGCAAUGAACAGGGACACCACAGCUAAAUCAGGUUUCCCAGGGCCUUAUUGAGCCUCACCUUGAAAGUCUCCAGGGACAGGGCAUCAACCACAUUGAGUAACCUGUUCCAGUGCCUCACCACCCUCACUGUAAAAGAGUUUUUCCUUAUAUCCAAACUAAAUCCACCCUCCCUGAGCUUGAAACCAUUUCCCUUUGUUCUAUUGCCACAGAUCCUGCUAAAGAGUCUUUGCCCUUCUUUCCCGUAGCUCCCCUUUAGAUACUGAAAGGCUGUUAUCAGGUCACCUCUCAGCCUUCUCUUCUCCAGGCUGCACAGCCCCAGCUCUCUCAGCCUGUACGCGUAGGAGAGGUGUUCCAUUCCCUGAAUCAUUUUUGUGCCCCUUCUCUGGAUGCACUCCUAGAAGUCUAUGCCUGUCAAGUCUCCUGUACUGAGGACUCCACAGCUGCAUGCAGUACUCCAGGUGAGACCUCACAGCGCAGUGUAGAGGGGCAGGAUCACCUCCCUCGUCCUAUUGGUCAUAUCUGGUCUAGUGGUUGGCAACCUUGCACAUAGCAGGGGGGUUGAAACUAGAUGAUCAUUGUGGUCCCUUUCAACACAGGCCAUUAUAUGAUAUAAUUCUAUGAUCUUUUGUUGCAGAUCAGGAUAUGUUUGGCUUUCUGAGCUGCAAGGGCACACUGCUGGCUCAUGUCUAGCUUGCCAUCCACCAGUCCCCCCAAGUCUUUUUCAGCAGGGCUGCAUUUAGUCCUUUCACCCCCCAGCUUAAAUUUGUAGUGGGAGUUAUCUUGACCCAAAUGUAAGAUCUUGUAUUUGGAUUUGUUGAAUCUCCUGACGUUCACCUGGGCUCACUGCUCAAGCUCAAGUCCCUCUGGUGUGUAGACUGCACCCCACAGCUUGGUGUCAUCAGUGAACUUGCUGAGGGUGCACUUGACCCCACUGUCGAUGCCACUGUUGAAUAUUAAAGAGUAUCAGCUCCAGCACUGACCCCUGGGAGAUACCACCCAUUACUGAUCUCCAUCCAGACACUGAGCUGUUGACCACCACUCUCUGGACUUAAUCCUGUGGCCAGUUCUUCAUCCAUCGAACAGUCUACCCAUCUGUUGUGGAGUACCAUGUCAAAGGCCUUACUGAAGUCAUAGAAUCAUAGAAUCACCAAGGUUGAAAAAGACCCACAGGAUCACCCAGUCCAACCAUCCACCUAUCACCAAUAGUUCUCAUUAAAUCAUGUCCCUCAGAAAAAUGUCCAAAUGUUCCUUGAACACCUCCAGGGUUGGUGACUCCACCACCUCCCUGGGCAGCCCAUUCCAGUGCCUGACCACUCUUUCAGAGAAGUAGUAGCUGUCUAAUGCAGAGAUUCUGCAUCAUAGAAUCAUAGAAUGGCCUGGGUUAAAAAGGACCACAGUGAUCAUCUAGUUUCAACCCCCCUGCUAUGUGCAGGGUCUCCAACCACUAGACCAGGCUGCCCAGAGCCAUAUCAUGCUCAGAGGCAGUGAGCUGUGACUUAUAUGUACAGAGGAUGUAUGGAAAAUUCUUUGCUAAUACAAGGGGGCCUGUUUUAGAAGUUGCUUGUGAGUCUCCUUUCACAGAGAAUCAUGCUUUUCAGACUAGGCAUCAUGUUGUUUGAAAGCAGAUUUGUGACAACUGCAUUGCUAGUUAUAGGGUGAAGAGGGAUGCAAUGAAACUUUAUGUGUACUUUAAAGUCAUUAAAGAAAAAAAAUGAAAAAACACAGAAGUAAUUUAUGAAUGAUUGAGCAUACUCUGGAUGCUACUGUUGAAUGAAAUCUUGCUUUCCACUCUGUCUCUGCUUCUUACAGUGAGAUUUGGUAGGAUCUGCCAUUGUCUGGGUGAAAGUGAACUACCUGUUCGGUUUUGAGGAUGAAUUAAACAUUCUUAUUGCACAUCUCAUCUUAUUAAAAGUAUUAUUCUUGGCAUGCAAAAAAGCUUUGUUCCUGCACAGUAAAUGAGAUAUAUAAGUCCACUGAAAGAAGCUAAGACCAGUCAAAGCAGAGACCAGAAAACAGUACCACAUGCUUCUUUUAAAAAGAAAGAAACAACAGACAAACCAAACAACAAAAAUGCUGGAAGAGACAGUGAAAGAUAAAGAUGUAUUUGAAUGAUCUGGUAAUUAUACGUACACCAAGAGGCAUUCAUUUGUUUAUCUAUUCUUCCUUUGCCAACAUUGGCGAGCAGGCAGAAACUAGGCUCUUCCAACCUUCUCUGUCAUUUGCUGCUUCUUUCAUCUGCCUUCCAGUUUUGAAAUCAAACACUUAGCUCUCCCUCUUCUAUGGAAAUCUGCAAGGUUUCUGUUGUACUUCUUUACUUGAGUUGGCUUCCAAUUCACACGGCUGUAAACAGGACCAAUAUGAAAGGCUAACUGAUUAGUUUGGAAGAUUGAUUUAUUAUUUUCAGGAAAAAAUAGAAGGCAACGAAUCCUGCACACUGGGAAUAUUACUUGUAGUGACAAAGAUGGCGGCUAGGUGUUGGAAGGGCUGAUGGAUGUGUAAUGAACACAGGCCUGUUCCAUUUAUUUACCACAGGUAUAAAGACAAUUGCCCUAAAUGCACAUUUCAGAUAUACGGGAAGGAAUAGUGUCUGCCCCUAACAGUCCACGUUUUGACUUAGAAUAAAACACAGCAGCAAUUAGGAGGAUAAUGCGAGAAGUAGGAGAACAGCAGUAAGAUCAUACAGCAAAUAAGUAUGUACAUGCACAAUCAGAUCCAAGCCAUUUUAAAGUAGAGUUGUGUGAAUAAUUGUUUCUUCAGUUCAAAGGUCAAGCUGAAAAAAAAAAUACAGAUGCAUUUUGGGUUGCUCUGAAGCAUAAAAUUGUAUUGGUUUUCUUGGCAAAAUGGAAAAAAAAAAGUAGAAAAUAUCUGGAGUUGAAGUCAAAGUUAAAAGUUCAUUUAGUUGGAGGAAUCUAAGCGCUCAUUAAAUGAUUUAUUCCAAGAAGUUUAAAAACAAUCAUUUUUGAACAAAAGUUUGAAAUACUGUGAAAAUAGGGAAAUAAUUUCUCUUAAUUGGAUUUUCUUUUUUUUCAGUCACAAUUAUUGGCCAGAUAAAGCCAGUUAGGAACAAUUUUCACCUGAUCUUUUUGUCUAGUGAAUGUUGACUCUCAGUCUUCCUUGUACUUCAACCUUUCACAAGGUAGUGCAUUUCUUAAAAUAACUCUUUUAAAAAAACUUCUGAGGAAAAUGAUGACAUGAUAUUUAAAUGAGAAACUUUAACUCUCUUCUCCUGGGGAAGAAGGAAAAAACUAAGAUUAUCGAGAAAAUAUUGCAGUGAAGGUAUUCUUUAGGUUUUUGGUUUUUAAAUAAGUCAUGACAAAUGAAAAAAGUAGCUAUUCUUGAGCAGUACAUCAAAACUGGUACUGAUAAAUUAGCAGCCCUGAGAAACAAAACAGAACAAAACAGCAUGUGGUGCCAGUGUGUUCGGGUUAGUGUUAUGGAUUUGCACUGGAGUUACUAAGUCAUCAUUUUUGCAGCAAAUUGGUAUGGAACAAGGGUCUUCUGGGUGACUCCAUAGUUCUGUGUGGAGCUGACGACAGACAAUAUUUGUGUUUGAUCAUACUGGCUGUUCAGGUGUCAGCAUGGAGCAGGAAGAUCCCAAGACUGAAAUCACUCAUUUUCACUCGUUAGGAAGAAGUUGGUGUGUCUUUGAGGGCUGUGGUUUCAAAUUAUCUAUUCUUCUUGUAAUAGUUCAAAGAUUAAAGAAGGAACAGAGAUUGUUUUCCUGGAUCAUGAAGGAUGACCAUUGCAUGGGCUCUGCAGGAGGUGCGUGGCAAAGAAACAGGUUUUGCCCAGGAUUUUAUGACCAUUUUAGUAGUAGUAGGUUCCUGCAUUCCAACUCUAUAUUUUUUUAACUUAUAUUGAGAGAUAUUUUCUUUCUUUUAAAGGCACCCCUCACCUCAAACUAAGAAAGAAAGGUGCUGCUGAGUCAGUUGGAGACUGAGCCCCAUCAAGGCAACCCAGCUGUAAUUGGUGAGGGUGAUUUCUGACAGUAUCCAGGAGGGGAAAUGUGGACUUGCCAAGGACUCUAUUGACCUCUCCUUACAGGGCCCUACACAAGAGCACAGCUGGCUAUUUAUGACUGCGGCCUAAGCAGAUAUUCAAAAGCAAGAAACCUUGAUCCAGUCAGGUUACAGAAAAUAAUAGGUAUUGUACAUACACUUUGAUAUAUUUGCUUUUCUUUUGAUUUUGCUGAAAGACUCAUGCUUUGUGUCUUUCCUCUUUCUGCUGUCAUUUCCCCCUUUUCUCUUUCCAUCUCUAUUUCAAAUAGAAAAAUUAUGAAUGAAAGGAAGGCCGCAGAACAGCCACUGAUCUGAAGAGGAGCAGGCUUCUGCCCAUGCUGGUCUUUCCAUUGGGUGCUGCUGAAGCAAUCGGGCAAUUCAUUUAUUUUAUAUUAAAUCUUUUCUAAACAUGGUCAAUCUUGUCUUUCUUUAUGUUUUUCCCUAUUUUCUCCUCCAUAAAAUGGAAAGAGUCACGUUAAUAUGUAUUCAUAGAGCAUAUUAUUAUAUUAUUGUGAUAAAAAUAACAUCACCAUUGUCAUUAACAGCUGCACUCUGAUACUCUUUCUCCAGACAUUAUCAUGACUUCUGUGGAUCCAUGUACAAAAUAAAUAAAUGAAUAAAUAAAUAAAUAAAGC